AGAGUUUGAUCAUGGCUCAGAAUAAACGCUGGCGGCGUGCCUAACACAUGCAAGUCGAGCGAGAAAGUUCCUUCGGGAACAAGUACAGCGGCGAACGGGUGAGUAACGCGUAAGAAUCUACCGUUUAGUGGAGAAUACCCUCGAGAAAUCGAGGUUAAUACUGCAUAAGUCCCUUCGGGGAGAAAGAUGGCCUCUUUGCUAUCGCUAGAUGAGGAGCUUGCGUACUAUUAGCUAGUUGGUAGGGUAAAGGCCUACCAAGGCGAUGAUGGUUAGCCGGCCUGAGAGGGUGUUCGGCCACACUGGAACUUAGACACGGUCCAGACUCCUACGGGAGGCAGCAGUGAGGAAUCUUGCACAAUGGGCGAAAGCCUGAUGCAGCGACGCCGCGUGGAGGAUGAAGGUUUUAGGAUUGUAAACUCCUGUUAAGUGGGAAGAAAUACUUACUUCUAAUACAAGUAAGUGAUGACGGUACCAUUAGAGAAAGCACCGGCUAACUUCGUGCCAGCAGCCGCGGUAAUACGAGGGGUGCGAGCGUUAUUCGGAAUUAUUGGGCGUACAGGGUGCGUAGACGGCAUAUUAAGUCAACUGUUAAAUUCCCCGGCCUAACUGGGGUCCAGCAGUAGAUACUGAUGAGCUAGAGGGUGGAAGAGAGAAGUGGAAUUCUCGGAGUAGCGGUAAAAUGCGUAGAUCUCGAGAGGAACACCGAUGGCGAAGGCAGCUUCUUGGUCCAUACCUGACGUUGAGGCACGAAAGCGUGGGGAGCAAACAGGAUUAGAUACCCUAGUAGUCC
rnacentral:rRNA from 1 species